rnacentral:tRNA from 1 species
GCACCUGUGGUGGAACUGGCAGACACGCAAGAUUCAGGUUCUUGUGCCCGCAAGGGCGUGGAGGUUCGAAUCCUCUCAGGUGCACCA